rnacentral:lncRNA from 1 species
AAACGUACUUUUAAAAAUGCAAGGAUUAUUAUUAUUAUCAUAGUCGGUUUUUGCCUUUGUUUUUCUUUUGAAAUUCAACAUUUUCUCCCCCGUAGGGCUCCUGAAAGUGCACCGUUAAAAAGCAAGAUGAUUUAUGCUAGCUCUAAAGAUGCCAUUAAAAAGAAAUUUACAGGUAUUAAACAUGAGUGGCAAGUAAAUGGCUUGGACGAUAUUAAGGACCGCUCGACACUGGGAGAGAAACUGGGAGGCAGUGUUGUAGUUUCCCUGGAAGGAAAGCCACUGUAAAAUAAUAGCCAAGUGCCAUUUGAUCUUAAGGGGCUUACAUUUAUUUCUCCAGCUCAGUCCACUGGAAUUGUAUUAGGUUUUGUUUUUUGUUUAUUCCCUUUCCACUGGUCCCGUUCAACACAAUGAAUGAGUGAAUAUAAGAAGCCUGUCAGUGAUCGCCAUUAGACUGUUUCAUAUGGUUACUUUCUGUAGAUCCCAAGGAAUGCCUUCCCGUCCUAUUUUAGCCAAAACAACUGGUUCCAUGCCUUCCUUGCGUGAGCACUACAACGGAUUGUCAGCGUGAAUAGCUUAGAGUACUACAGAGGGUGAGCUAAUUGAAUGCCUUGAAAGUAUUCUCCACUGGUCAUAUGGGAAACUUGUUUCAGUAUUAUUUAUAGUCGAGCUGCACUUGAUCACAGUUCUCUGCGGCACUGGAGCAGUCACACACCUCACCCGCCUUGGCUCGCCUAUUGUGAC